rnacentral:lncRNA from 1 species
GCAACAUACUCAAAAGUCAGAUACGUCGUUUGGGAAUAUAUACAGUUGGACACCACUAUUUAACCUUUGGACAAUAUCUUUUUGAUUCUAAUCAGUGAUGAUUUUUUUUUGUGACAUUAAUGAAGAUACAUGAUAAUGCAACGAUUGUAGCAAUUUAUAUGAUACCAAAGAACAUCAUUAGCGCUCCGGAACAUUAUAAUGCAUUAUUGUCAAAGACAUCAAGCA